rnacentral:lncRNA from 1 species
GAGGUGCCCAUGAAGCGCGCCGGACAGCCGGCUGAGGUUGCGCCUAGCUACGUCUUCCUCGCCAGCGAGCAGGACUCGUCGUACAUCACCGGACAGUUCCUCCACGUCAACGGUACACGCACGAGCCGCCGCCGCCGCCGGCCUGCUGCUGCUUAAUUUCUGCUGCUACUUGCAUUGGUUCUCACUCUCUCUGCUACCUACUCGUAGGUACUAACUGAUGUGUGUGUUGUUUUGCAGGAGGCGUCAUCGUCAAUGGGUAGAGAGAAGUUAGCUAGACGACGACGACGACGGGGAUCGCCGGCGGCGGUAGGAGGUGUGGCCAUGGAGUCCUUUUGGGGUGUGCGUCGUCGUGUCCAAGUCGGAGGGAAGGAAGUGUCGAG